GAGACCUACGGGGCGCAGCAGUGAGGAAUAUUGGUCAAUGGGCGGGAGCCUGAACCAGCCAAGUCGCGUGAAGGAAGAAGGUAUUUAGUAUUGUAAACUUCUUUUGUCGGGGAACAGAGGCGGAGACGCGUCUCCGGAUGAGUGUACCCGAAGAAAAAGCAUCGGCUAACUCCGUGCCAGCAGCCGCGGUAAUACGGAGGAUGCGAGCGUUAUCCGGAUUUAUUGGGUUUAAAGGGUGCGCAGGCGGGGGAUC
rnacentral:rRNA from 1 species